GAUGAACGCUGGCGGCGUGCCUAAUACAUGCAAGUCGAGCGAACGGACGAGAAGCUUGCUUCUCUGAUGUUAGCGGCGGACGGGUGAGUAACACGUGGAUAACCUACCUAUAAGACUGGGAUAACUUCGGGAAACCGUAGCUAAUACCGGAUAAUAUUUUGAACCGCAUGGUUCAAAAGUGAAAGACGGUCUUGCUGUCACUUAUAGAUGGAUCCGCGCUGCAUUAGCUAGUUGGUAAGGUAACGGCUUACCAAGGCAACGAUGCAUAGCCGACCUGAGAGCGUGGUCGGCCACCCUGGAACUGAGACACGGUCCAGACUCCUACGGGAGGCAGCAGUAGGGAAUCUUCCGCAAUGGGCCAAAGCCUGACGGAGCAACGCCGCGUGAGUGAUGAAGGUCUUCGGAUCGUAAAACUCUGUUAUUAGGGAAGAACAUAUGUGUAAGUAACUGUGCACAUCUUGACGGUACCUAAUCAGAAAGCCACGGCUAACUACGUG
rnacentral:rRNA from 1 species